rnacentral:rRNA from 1 species
CGGAGGGUGCAAGCGUUAUCCGGAUUCACUGGGUUUAAAGGGUGCGUAGGUGGGCAGGUAAGUCCGUGGUGAAAUCCCCGAGCUUAACUCGGGAACUGCCGUGGAUACUAUUUGUCUUGAAUAUUGUGGAGGUAAGCGGAAUAUGUCAUGUAGCGGUGAAAUGCUUAGAUAUGACAUAGAACACCAAUUGCGAAGGCAGCUUACUACACAGUUAUUGACGCUGAGGCACGAAAGCGUGGGGAUCAAACAGGAUUAGAUACCCUGGUAGUCCACGCCCUAAACGAUGAUUACUCGACAUCAGCGAUACACUGUUGGUGUCUGAGCGAAAGCAUUAAGUAAUCCACCUGGGAAGUACGACCGCAAGGUUG